GAGUCAACUCGUGGCACGUGAGCACAGCAGUUUGCAAAUAUUUCUCGGUCGGAGCAGAUAUAUAUUAUUUGGUUAACCACCCAGAUAUUUACCCAUCGCGAUAUUUCUAGUUAAUUAUAUUUCGUGCAAGAUUGCUCAGGUGGCUCAAGUUCAAGGAAGGACACCGAGAGAGCAGAGAGGCGGGAUUUUGAGUGACGAUGAACUAAGCAAGCAUAUUUGAAAAGACUGGGAGAUGUUGAUGAGGUAGACAUGGUGAAAAAAUCAAUGUCUGCAACUCUCUCAAAUGCCUUGAUGGCACAGAUGAAUUUAAAGGGGAAACGUGGGAAGCUGCCAUUUUCUCAGUCUCUGCUAUGCCAGAUCAUCUGUGACGCUGUCAUCAAUGCAUACAACACAACAUGUACACAAAUAUUGGAGACCAUGUCAAAAUACUUAAAAUAUGCACCAGAGAGGAUGGGUGGUGGUGGCCGUAAGACGACUCUUCCAUGAAGACUCAAUUCACUUCAAAAAAUUUAAAAAAAAAAGUUUACUUAUUGUUUCUAGGUCAAUAUAUAAUUCAAGAAUGAAACCUAGAGUAAAAUGUUUUUGGUUCAUUAGUGAUUUACUGAUGUUGAAAGAUGUUACUUGAUGAUAAUUCUAGCAUGUAGUUUUAUAAGAACUUACUUGAAACCCACAUAAAAAAAAGUUUGAAUGAUAAUGGGUUUAAUGAGCCUUCUAAAAUAGUUUUGCUGUUGAACAAUAUUACUCGAAAUAAUAGUUUAUUAUUAUUCUGGCUUGUACUGUAAUGCCUUUUUUAAAGACCUGUUGAUGUUACUUGAAAUUAUAUAUUUAUUAUUAUUAUUCUGGCUUGUACUGUAAGACCGUUUUUAAAGACCUGUUGAUUUUACUUGAAAUUAUAUAUUUAUUAUUAUUAUUCUGGCUUGUACUGUAAGACCGUUUUUAAAGACCUGUUGAUGUUACUUGAAAUUAUAUAUUUAUUAUUAUUAUUCUGGCUUGUACUGUAAGACCGUUUUUAAAGACCUGUUGAACUCAAUGAAAUUAUAUAUGUAUUAUUAUUCUGGCUUGUAGUGCUGUAAGAACCUUUUUAAAGACCAAAUUUUUGAUGUUUAAUGAUGCUUUCAAUUGAUGAAUUCAAUUUAUUUCAUUAUAGUUUUGUGUUUUGCUGUUG